AGAAGACUUCAAAGAGUCUGAAAGUCAAAGUCUUCUGUACUGAGGGACCAGAAUAGCUGGACAACAUUGAACCCGAACACUGUGGAAUGAUAACGGACAGGACACCACAACCAUUCAAAUCUGUACUUAACUUCAAGCAUUCGAAAUCAGUGUUAGGAAAAGGCUCUGGUUUUUUUCACUGACUAUGAAGAGUGGAAAGAUGAUGCCAUCUUCAUCAGUGACACUGAUAUGUGCUGCUGUUCUACAGGUGCAGAAUGGAGGUACUGCAUCCACGUCACAAAAUAAAACACUUAACAACUCUUCUGUGUUUUGCCUGGACAAAAUGAAUGAACAACAAGUGAUAUGCAUAAUAUAAAUUUUAAGUAUCUUGAUAUGAAAGGAAGGAAGAUUGUUUUUUCUGAUGGUUUUGUUUGUAUUGAAGACUGUGCCUCAGGACAUGAUUUCAGAUUUCCAUUCCACUCUGGUUUUAUGAAUUAAACAAAGCAGAGCAGAAACAAAACAAGCAGAAAACCUUGACUGACUGAUAAAGCAAGUGUGUAGAGCUGUAAAUCACUGAGUAGAGGAUGGAAACUCUUUAAACUUACAGAGCAAAAUCUAUUAUACAUUAUAUUUAAGUGAUUUUUUUAACUCUCCACUUCUUUUCUGUAAUGUACAUUUAUCACAGUGUAGAAGAAAAACAAUUAAGCUUUAUUUCACAGUGUUUGUUAGAAACAUAUUAAUUUAUAUUGAAAGCAGAAAUUCUAUUCCAUCUAGAAUGGGUUCUUAUUAAUUAAAUCUGUAUCACUGGGCAGACACCUCAAACAAGUUUAUUCUUCACUUAGAAGUGAAUCAAUUUUCUUACAUGAUAGCAGACAGGAAGGUUCCCGUGAUGGAACACUUGUUGAGGUACUGUAAAUAAUAUUAACAUGAUAUCUAGAAAAGUGUUUUAAAUGUACCUUUUGCAAUGUAGUCAAUAUAUAGAUCAGUCAAUGAAUAAUAAGGCAUAAUACAUUAUAUAUUUUUUUUUAAUUUUCUUAAUGCACUGUGUCACUAACCAUAAUCAAAAACUUUGUCACUGUCAAGUAUACACACAAUAAGAAAUCACAUAUGCAGGGCUGUGUUUUUCAUAGAAGAGGUAUAGCUUCUAUCAAUGUCUUUGGAACUUAUUAUUCAGGUUAUCAUGGACAUAUACUUUAGUUUCCUUUUUUUUGGUUGUUGUUCUGAUAUUAAACAACAAUUUUAAAAAUGUUGAAAAAAUUUUUAAGUCUUUUUCAUCGUAAUUUAUCUUGUCUCUCCGAUGAUGUCUGUCAGUAGUGAAAGUAAUACUUAUCUGAUUAGCCUGUUAUUGCACAGCUGUUCUGAAAACAAGUUCAAGAAAUUUUUUUAAGGUUAAAAAUACCCCACAACUCACAACUUUAGCUAAGUACAUAUUAUUCUUAUGGAUUGUUCAAAAAAUGUUAGUCUUUCAUUUUUUAAAAAAUUUAUUACACAGGAAUUUAACUACAGCUGUGGGAAAUCUAGUGGUUUUAAAUGGUAGGCUUGCUUUCAGAUGCAGCAAGUAUAAAAUCUUAGCAUUUACUGAGGCUUUCUUUUUGAACCAUUUUAAAAUAAAAUGCUGAGCUGGAAAA